GGCCGGUUUUUCCUAUGCUAUUCUUGUCAUAGUGAAUAAGUCUCAUGAGGUCUGAUGGGUUUAUCAGGGGUUUCCACUUUUCCUUCUUCCUCAUUUUCUCUUCCCACCACCCUGUAAGAAGUGCCUUUAACCUCCCGCCGUGAUUCUGAGGCAUCCCCAACAAUGUAGAGCUUCUUGCCGUGUUGCCAAGGCUGGUCUUGAACUCCUGGGCUCCAGUGAUCCUCCCAUCUCAGGCUCCCAAGUAGCUGAGACUACAGGCAUGUGCCACUGUGCCUAGAUUCCAUUUACUAAUGAUGGAAAUUUGGAUUGCUUCAGAGUUGGCAAAUAUAAAAAAUGCUUUUAUGAACUUUCUUGUGCAUGUGUCUUGGGGUGCACAUGUGCACAAGUUAGGGUGGAUAUGGAGUGGUGAAAUUAUUGAGUCAUAAAUUAUGCACUUACUAGGCAAUGUCAUAUUGUUUUCAUUCAGUUGUACCAAUUCACACUCCCUUCAAUAGCAUAUGAGAGUUGCUCUCAUUCUGGCCACUCACUAGCAUAUUGCUGUUGCUGGUCUUUAAUUUUAUCCUUUCUGGUGGGUAUGUAGUACUAUCAUAUUGUAAUUUUAAUUUCCAUUUCCUUGAUUACUAUCACUGGGAUCCAGCCUCUUUUCAUCUGCUUAUUGGCCAUUUGGAUAUUUGUGUGUGUGUGAUGUGUGUGUUGAAAUCCCACGCCCAUUUUUCUAUUAUCUGUCCUUAUCUUUAUUGACUUAGAGAGUUUCUUUGUAUAUCUUGGAUAUAUUCCUUUGUAAUUCAGUUAUAUUACAGAUAUUUUUUUCUAGGCUAACAGCUUGUUUUUUUUUUACUUUCAUCAUAGUGUCUUCUUUGAACAGUUCUUAAUUCUAAUGUAGUCCA
rnacentral:lncRNA from 10 species